UACGUAGGGGGCAAGCGUUGUCCGGAAUCAUUGGGCGUAAAGAGCGUGUAGGCGGCUCGGUAAGUCCGCUGUAAAAGUCCAGGGCUCAACCCUGGAAAGCCGGUGGAAACUGUCGAGCUAGAGUCCGGAAGAGGCGAGUGGAAUUCCUGGUGUAGCGGGUGAAAUGCGCAGAUAUCAGGAGGAACACCAAUGGCGAAGGCAGCUCGCUGGGACGGUACUGACGCUGAGACGCGAAAGCGUGGGGAGCAAACAGG
rnacentral:rRNA from 1 species